rnacentral:lncRNA from 1 species
AAUAAUGUGUGCCACGCACAUGGCUUGCUUGAAGCCACGGCUCAGCCCGCCGGCAACUUGCGGUCCGUAGUCCAGUGCGGACACGAGGCGGUGAGCCGUGUCCAUCCCGGAUCCGAGGGCCUCCGCCAGAUCAAGUCCCUUAACCUCGUGCCGAGCCCGGGAAAGCGAAGAGGAAAUUUACGGACUCUAGGACCCCAAGGUACCUGCCAGGAGGGACUCCGCCAGAUCACGUCCCAUAACCUCGUGCCGAGCCCGGGAAAGCGAAGAGGAAAUUUACGGACUCUGGGACCCCAAGGCAGGUCUGAUUCUGGUGCACAUCAUGUCCAGUUUUGAAGAUGCUGACACAGAAGAGACAUUAACUUGUCUCCAGAUGACUGUUUACCAUCCAGGCCACCAGCAAAAUGGAAUAUUCCAAUCAAGAAGGUUUUUUAGCCGAGAGAAACUCCCUUCCAGCGAAGUGGUAAAAUUUGGCCGAAAUUCCAUCUGUCAGUAUACCUUUCAGGACAAACAUGCUUCUCGAGUUCAGUUUUCUCUGCACCUAUUUAAAAAGUUUGAUAGCUCAGUUCUCUCUUUUGAGAUUAAAAAUAUGAGUAAGAAGACCAGUCUGAUUGUGGACAACCAGGAAUUGGGCUACCUAAAUAAAAUGGACCUGCCCCCUAAGUGCAUGGUUAGGUUUGGUGACUAUCAGUUCCUGAUAGAGAAGGAAGAUGGAGAGUCAUUAGAAUUCUUUGAGAUUCAGUUUAUUUUAUCUACAAGAUCGCUCUUGCAAGAAAACAACUGGCUACCACAGAAGCCCAUACCUGAGUGUGGCAACUAUUUAUCCUGUUCCACCCAAGGCAAUUCUCCUAUAGAAAUGGGUGAAAAUGAAUGGUGACCACAGAGGGCUAAGAGAAUCAUGAAGGACCAACUCUGUAGACACUCUACAGACAAUCCACUUAUUAAAAGAGUUUCUGAGUGCGGUAUAUUACUGUCAUUUGCUGUGUUGCCAACUUUGAGAUCUGGUGUUAUGUGAAGUCUGUAAAUUGCGUUAGUCAUUGAUUUAGUCACCUGCUGCAUUGCUGGAUAUAUGAAGAAAUUACUAUAAUUGUGUAUCUGUGAGCAUUAAUGUAUGAAAAGCAACCUUCAUGAUGAAGGAAUAGUGUUCUCAAAAUAAGGUUAUUUUCUUUUUAUGCCCAAUUUUGGUCCCAUGUUUUAUACUGCUUCACUUUGAUUUAUAAGUUACCAUCUCUUGGUUUGGUCAUAUUAUUUCACAGCAGCCAUUUGUUCCUAGGUCAAGGUUACAAGCAUGUUAUUACAGGUGAGGUAACUUGUUGUUACUUGUCAUACCAGAGUACUGGAACAAAAAGCAUAAUGUGUUUUGGUGUCUGUGUGUCAUUGUGGUUUUAUAGUAAGACUUCUUUGUGCAAUAAUACCUUAAUUUUUGUUUUUUUCUCUAUAGAAUUAGUGUUUAUUCCCAAGAAUAGUUUUCCUUUUCUAUAUUCAGCAUCUAAAACCAAUACUUUAAACAUUGUUAAUAAACUAUGAUGUUAAAUUUAAAA